UGGGGAAUAUUGGACAAUGGGCGAAAGCCUGAUCCAGCCAUGCCGCGUGAGUGACGAAGGCCUUAGGGUUGUAAAACUCUUUCGUCGGGGACGAUAAUGACGGUACCCGAAGAAUAAGCUCCGGCUAACUUCGUGCCAGCAGCCGCGGUAAUACGAAGGGAGCUAGCGUUGUUCGGAAUCACUGGGCGUAAAGCGCACGUAGGUGGGCAGUUAAGUCAGGGGUGAAAGCCCGAGGCUCAACCUCGGAAUUGCCUCUGAUACUGGCUGUCUAGAGUUCGAGAGAGGUGAGUGGAAUUCCUAGUGUAGAGGUGAAAUUCGUAGAUAUUAGGAAGAACACCGGUGGCGAAGGCGGCUCACUGGCUCGAUACUGACACUGAGGUGCGAAAGCGUGGGGAGCAAACAGGAUUAGAUACCCCGGUAGUCCCUGAGCGGGCUGGCAAGGCGCAU
rnacentral:rRNA from 1 species